GACGAACGCUGGCGGCGUGCUUAACACAUGCAAGUCGAACGGAAAGGCCCUGCUUUUGUGGGGUGCUCGAGUGGCGAACGGGUGAGUAACACGUGAGUAACCUGCCCUUGACUUUGGGAUAACUUCAGGAAACUGGGGCUAAUACCGGAUAGGAGCUCCUGCUGCAUGGUGGGGGUUGGAAAGUUUCGGCGGUUGGGGAUGGACUCGCGGCUUAUCAGCUUGUUGGUGGGGUAGUGGCUUACCAAGGCUUUGACGGGUAGCCGGCCUGAGAGGGUGACCGGCCACAUUGGGACUGAGAUACGGCCCAGACUCCUACGGGAGGCAGGGGUGGGGAAUAUUGCACAAUGGGCGGAGGCCGGAUGCAGCAACGCCGCGUGCGGGAUGACGGCCUUCGGGUUGUAAACCGCUUUCGCCUGUGACGAAGCGUGAGUGACGGAAAUGGGUAAAGAGGCACCGGCUAACUACGU
rnacentral:rRNA from 1 species